CCUACGGGUGGCAGCAGUGAGGAAUAUUGGUCAAUGGACGAGAGUCUGAACCAGCCAAGUCGCGUGAAGGAUGAAUGCCCUAUGGGUUGUAAACUUCUUUUAUAAAGGAAUAAAACGAGGCACGUGUGCCUUUUUGCAUUUACUUUAUGAAUAAGAAUCGGCUAACUCCGUGCCAGCAGACGCGGUAAUACGGAGGAUCCGAGCAUUGUCCGGAUUUAUGGGGUUUAAAGGGAGCGUAGAUGGGUUGUUAAGUCAGUUGUGAAAGUUUGCGGCUCAACCGUAAAAUUGCAAGUGAUACUGUAAGUCUUGAGUACAGUUGAGGUAAGCGGAAUUCGUGGUGUAGCGGUGAAAUGCUUAGAUAUCACGAAGAACCCCGAUUGCGAAGGCAGCUUACUAACUUGUGACUGACAUUGAUGCUCGAAAGUGUGGGUAUCAAACAGGAUUAGAUACCCUGGUAGUC
rnacentral:rRNA from 1 species